UCCUCUCUUGAGAGUGUAUUUUGCUUUGUUCAACCAGGAAAGUUUUAUACCGACUGCUUACCAGUGGGAGUCUGUGUGCGACAAGGACCAGGGUCACCCGUAACAGGGGACCUGUGCCCAACCACCCCAGCUUACUUACCUUCCUCUCCACAAAAAGGGCUGGCCGGGACUGAAUCUCAGGCUGUGGGGGCUCUGGCAUCUGCACAGGAUCACGGGAGGAGGGAGGGCAGCUGGCACGCCUGGCGCUCCCUGCUUUUGGCCCUUGGCUUCCCUCUGUCCACACCUGGAGCCCAAAGUGGUCCGCUGGAGCCCUGCCACCCUUCUGUGAUAAGGCAAAAGGACAGCUCGGGGUGGCGGAGAGCACUGAGGGGGAACCAGGUUCUCAGGGACACUGGGACUGCUCUUCCAGCCCCAGAUGAACCUUGCGACUCAGAUGACGGAGCAGUUAAAUAAAGUCGGAGGGCCUCUGUUACAAUUAACUGUCACCAAUUAAUCCUUAGUUUGUAACAGCCCGGCCCGCAGAGGAGAGGGAAGCUCCCUGCCUGUCUUCUCCCACAGCCCCGUGCCCUGGGGUGCUGCUUCUCCCACUCUCGCCCUCUUCCUCUGGAACCCCAAUAUCUGAGGAGCCUUGGACAUAAGACCUCUGACACGGGAUCACCAUCUUACCCAGCCCCCAUCUUGGGUCACCUCAAUGCCACGCAGCACUGAAGACACAUGGUCCUUGGGCUGCAGGUGCCUAGAGACGGGCCACUGCACCUGCUCCUCCUUGCCCGCCGUCCCCAGCGCCCCCGGACGGUACCUGGAGACAAGGCUUCCCUGCCUGACUGGGAGGACGGCCCACGGCCACACGGUCGUCCUUCCAGCUCCGGACACAUGCUAACACCCUCAGUUACCUCUCUACACCACCCCACCAGUAAAGCCCCAACCCGGGGCCAACCCACUGCUCCUCAGAAAAACUGUAACAGCACGACUCACCUAAUCUCCCAGCCAGCACCCAUGACCAGCCACGUGUUCAUGGAUCAUGGCCCUCGGAUCUCGCGUGUACCCUGGACACCGCAGGGCGGGGAACUGGUUCCAGUCUAGCGCCCGCUUCACAGCUGCUGAGCCGUCGCACCAGAGCCCGAGUUCUGCCCUGUUUUUAGGUCUCCAGAGAAAGCGGCCCCCGCCUGUCUUUGUACAAGUCGUUCCUCUCUGACGAUGUACUAGUAAAAGUCACAGCUCCUCUUCCUUCAAGAUGAAAAGGGGAAUACGGAUAAACCACGGUGUCCGUACGCGCAGAGGCCUGUGCUGACCACGCCAGAGAGCCCGGGCCCGUCCGGCCCUCCGAGCACACCUUUAUUUCUCGUUAAUCCUGGACUUACUAUUAUUUUUUUUCCCGGGAUGUACUAGAUUAAGAAUCCAUGCAUGGGACCAGCAGAUGGUGCAAUGGUUAUG